CUCGCGCUCUUGCCUCAGCGUAAAUCAUUGAGACCAACUGAAAACGAAGCCAAUAUGGAACUUAAACUGAUUAUGAAAAAAGUAUAAAGGUAAACGAAAUUCUGUUUACAAAUGAUUGAAGAUACCAGUGUCUUCAUUGGUUAAACCUUUGAACGAAAGUUAACGAUAAACAAUUUACCAAGUUACGAAGGCUGAAGUAGUAAUUGAAAUUUUCAUGCCAUGGGUCCUUUAAAAGUUGGACAUUUGGUUUCCUCAGUUUACAGUACAGUCUCUAAUCAAUAGUACAUUUUUGAAAGCUUUUACAAAUUCCUAGUUGCAUGAAAAAGAACAAAACAAACGCAUCUCUUUCGAAUACUUUUUUUUAUAUAACAAACAUCUUUUUUAAACAAAAUGUCUCACUUCCAUUAAAAGUGAUGGUUGACAAGGCCCCACAACAUCGAACUACAAAUGCAACGAAUCAUAAUAAAAAUAAUAAACACAGAAGACAACAAAGAGAUAGAUCUUAACCUUUUAAAAAUAUACUGUAAGAAGCUUUUCCCCCAAUGAAACUUGAGGAACUGGGAAUCCUCGUUGAGCGGUUUAAGACAGGAAGGUGGUGAUGUACCACCACCUUUUUGGAUUUAAAAUUUGCAUUGCAGUUAAACUCUCAUUCAUACUAUGCACAGAUCAGUUGUAAAAAUAACCCUUUAAAAAUAGAGCAUCAGUGGGGUUUAAUACUUCAGGAAAAUACAAGUUCCCCUCGAUGCAACUUGGGAGCGCGUUGCUAUGGUGAGUGGAGCUUCACGUUAAACCACGCCCCUUUGGAUUUAGUCAGCUAAGUGGAGGGGCUUACCACCCCCAAAUCCAGACACUCCGCAAAUUUCAUCUUGCAUAGAGGGACUCUUGGAAUAAACCGGUUCCUACUAUUAACUCAGUGGCAGCUCAGUAAAUAGAUACUUUGAUUUCUCUGUAGAAUGGCAUGCGCUGGGAAAGAACAAACAACACUUUUUAAAAAGUCAAAUGAGAGGGUUAAAAGGUUAAAGGUUGCCGGUGAGGGCAGAGUCCAUGAGGUCGUCGUCCUCGUUUCGUAUGUACACGGGACUGGGCCUGGGGGGCCUCUCGGGGCCCAUCAUGGAGAUGGACGAGUCCGAGGCCGAGAUGGGCGAGCGGGACCAGCUGUCGGGCUUCAUGGGGUGCGCGGAGGGCCCCAUCGACAUGGAGGACUUCUUCUUCUCCUUCUCGCGGUCCCUCUCGCGGUCCCUCUCGCGCUCCCGCUCGCGCUCCCUCUCCUUCUGCCUCUUCUUCUCCUUCUUGUGCUUCUUGUGCUUCUCUCCGGAGCUCAGCGGCAUGGAGCCCAUGAAGUCCUGCGGGGCGUGCGGCCGCAUGCUCUGGUCGUCGUCCGAGCUGGGGCUGUUCUGGUGGGACUUCUCCGCCACCGAGCUGCUGCCCGACUCGCUCUCGCUGUCGUGGUUGAGCGGCGUGUAUCCCGGCGAGCGGCUGUUGCUUGGGGUGGAGCCGCUGAAGAGGGGCGAGGCCUUGAGGCUGGAGAUCUGCGGGCGCAUGGACUCGCCGAUGCCGCCGCCGCCGCCCUCGCCGGCCUUCUGGAGGCUCACCUUGGCCUUGAUGCUUGGCGAGACGCCGUCCGUCUUGCUGAUGAUGAUCUUGGCCAGGCCGGCUCCGGGGACACCCCCGGCCGACUUGGUGUCCAUCAGCUUUUUAUCCCCACCGGGGCCCGGAACCGAAACCUUGGCUUUGGCCUCCUUCUCGGACUUCUCCCGCUUGUAGUCGCCCCCUUGGGAGGACAUGGGGUGCUUCGAGGGGCCCAUGUUCGGGGGUGCACUGUUGGGCACGUUCCCCGGACCCGGUCCCGGUGCCGCUCCCGCGGGGCCGCCUGUCGGGGGCCCCACCUCGCAGCCGUCCUCCCCGACCCCGCCGCCCCCCACGCUCUUCAGCUUGUCGAUGACCGCCGUUAGGGACGGCUUCUUGUUGCGGCUGGGGGACUUCCCUUUGGCGUUUGGGUUGUUUGCAUUGUUCUGGUUUCCCCCUCCACCGCUGCUGCCUCCCCCACCGC
ensembl:lncRNA